rnacentral:rRNA from 1 species
UGGGGGAAUAUUGCACAAUGGGGGAAACCCUGAUGCAGCGACGCCGCGUGAGUGAAGAAGUAAUUCGUUAUGUAAAGCUCUAUCAGCAGGGAAGAAAAUGACGGUACCUGACUAAGAAGCUCCGGCUAACUACGUGCCAGCAGCCGCGGUAAUACGUAGGGGCAAGCGUUAUCCGGAUUUACUGGGUGUAAAGGGUGCGUAGGUGGCAAGGCAAGUCUGAAGUGAAAAUCCGGGGCUCAACCCCGGAACUGCUUUGGAAACUGUUUAGCUAGAGUACAGGAGAGGUAAGUGGAAUUCCUAGUGUAGCGGUGAAAUGCGUAGAUAUUAGGAGGAACACCAGUGGCGAAGGCGACUUACUGGACUGCUACUGACACUGAGGCACGAAAGCGUGGGGAGCAAACAGGAUUAGAUACCCUGGUAGU